CGUUAUAUAGCUUAAUUAAAGCACCUCGCUUACAUC
rnacentral:tRNA from 1 species